rnacentral:rRNA from 1 species
UACGGGGGGGGCAAGCGUUGUUCGGAAUUACUGGGCGUAAAGGGCGCGUAGGCGGCCUUCUAAGUCGGACGUGAAAUCCCUCGACUUAACCGAGGAACUGCGUCCGAUACUGAAAGGCUUGAAUCCGGGAGAGGGAUGUGGAAUUCCAGGUGUAGCGGUGAAAUGCGUAGAUAUCUGGAGGAACACCGGUGGCGAAGGCGGCAUCCUGGACCGGUAUUGACGCUGAGGCGCGAAAGCUAGGGGAGCAAACGGG